rnacentral:lncRNA from 1 species
AUUUUUUAAAAGGUAAACCUUCACCUUGAAGCAGCUUUCAACAUGGCAUGUUUUCCAAUUGCCCUUGCAUCAUUUUUUUUUUAAUCACUAGAGGAAACUGCUUAAAAACAGGAUUAACGACGGACAAACAAGAUUACUAUGGAUGUGAUUUUGAGGCUACAAAACAAUUUUGAACUCACACAAGACUAAACCACUGAGGCUGUCUUCAAAACAAAGACUCGUGUUUCAGGAGAGAGUUCCCCAGGGAGAAAAACUGUAACAAGAUAUGGGGAAUGCAGCUAAAGAGGUCAAAUAACUUGCUCAAGUUUACACAGUGACAACACUGGAAUUUGAACCCAGCAAGACUGACUUGUCACUGCCAUCCAAUACUAAUCCUCAUCAGCAUCAGGUUCGCAGGGUUGGAGCCCCUUUCUUGGAAGACCUUCUGUGGUAGGCUCUUCCCUAGUGGCCUCUUUAGGAACAAUGCCUCUGACCCCUGGCCACUAGCUGAAGUUCUGGUCCAAAACAGAUGAACACCCUCCCAAUGAUGUCCCAAGCAUUGCCACUUCCUGGAAACUCAUACUGCCAUGUUCCACUCAUCUGAUUGGAUUUCCGUGAUGUGGAUUCUUGCCUGGACUAGUAAUCAUACUAAGCUGUAACUACUUACCACUCAGUGUGAAAGCACAUGAGGCAUAUUGCUACUGAUCCUUACAAGAGUCUGCAUGAAGAGAGUGUAUCUCCCAUUUUAGAAGUAGCUCAGAGGAGUGCAAAUGAUGGCCCAAAACCACACGGAUAGAGCAUAGCAAAGUUAGCAUUCAAACUCAGGUCUGCUGACAUCACAGCCCAUAUUCAUUUCAUUGUUUCUAAGUUUGCUAGUCCCCAUGAAACACUCUCAGUUGAACCUCUGACCACUCCCCUUGGGGGCCAGCCUCAACCCCUGGUUAGUGGCCUAACCCUAGUCCCACCCACCACAGCUUCCUCUCCUUCCCCUCCUUCCCUCACCCUAGGCCUGCCAAGUCCACAUCCCACCUUGGGAUUGAGCUCGUCUGGGGUGUGAGCUUUAUUAAUCCAAAAUGUUCAAAAAACUUUCCAUAGACUAUGACUCAGAAUAUGUUUAAGCCAUCAUCCUCAGCAAACUAACACAGGAACAGAAAACCAAACACCUCAUGUUCUCACUCAUAAGUGGGAGUUGAACAAUGAGAACACAUGGACACAGGGAGGGGAACAACAUACACCGG